UAAGCUGGCAACAACAGUAAGUUGCCUGGUACAUGUGUAUAGAGUUUCUCUUAGCUUAUCACUGCUCAUUAUUUGGUUUUUGGUCAUCAGCCACAAGACUAGCAACAUGAUCAUCUUAUUUGUAAUGGCCAUUGUCUGUAGCAUGAGCUUCACAACUGCUGCAACUGCUGACUGUAUUCAUGGAGCUACAGCUUGUGCUCAUCACACACUGGUGUCUUCAGAAAAUGGAGAGGUGUUUUGCUGCGAUGACAGUUAUACUAACAUAGCUGCAGGAUCGUCAACAAUUAACGGCGUGACACACACUGUUUGCAUGUGUCAUAACUAAACAUGGCUUUAAAACUGAAAUUCUACUGAAAAAUUAAAGGUCCGAAAUCUGACAAA